GAUGAACGCUGGCGGCGUGCUUAACACAUGCAAGUCGAACGGAAAGGCCACAGCUUGCUGUGGUACUCGAGUGGCGAACGGGUGAGUAACACGUGGGUGAUCUGCCCUGUACUUCGGGAUAAGCUUUGGAAACUGGGUCUAAUACCGGAUAGGAAUCACAUGUGGGUGUGUGGUUGGAAAGCUUUUGCGGUAUGGGAUGAGCUCGCGGCCUAUCAGCUUGUUGGUGGGGUAUUGGCCUACCAAGGCGUCGCCGGGUAGCCGGCCUGGGAGGGUGUACGGCCACAUUGGGACUGAGAUACGGCCCAGACUCCAACGGGAGGCAGCAGUGGGGAAUAUUGCACAAUGGGCGCAAGCCUGAUGCAGCGACGCCGCGUGGGGGAUGACGGCCUUCGGGUUGUAAACUCCUUUCGUCAGGGACGAAGCGAAAGUGACGGUACCUGGAUAAGAAGCACCGGCUAACUACGUG
rnacentral:rRNA from 1 species